CCAGACUGUGGUAGCGAGUGCCCUCUUGAUGCAGUAGUGUGCUGGGGUAGCAGCCUCAAGAAGAAGGACAAACUGGUGAGGAAGGCAGGCUCUGUCAUUGGCACUGAACUGGACAGCGUGACAUCUGUGGCAGAGCAAAGGACACUGAGGAGGCUCUUUUCCAUCAUGGACAACCAGCAUCAUCCAACACACAGCAUCAUCCCCCGACAGAAGAGCAGUUUCACUGGCAGAUUACUAUCACUGUCCUGCUCCGCUGAAAGACUGAGCAGACCAUUCCUCCCCCACGCCAUGCGGCUUUGCAAUACAACAGAGGGGAAGCGAUAAAAACACAAACAGGACUGGACUUAUUACCUUAUUAUUAUUAUUAUUAUUACACAGCAAAUUGAGCAGUGUUAAUUUUUUGGUGUUGAUGAGAAUCUUGAAGUUGGAGUGUCAAUCUUACACUAUUUGGAGUUGAUCUAACACUGCAUUUUCUUAAAAAUGUUAAAUUUAACACUGGAUCAUGAAAAUGUUGUAGUUAAAAUGGAGUGUUGAAUGUUCAAAUCUUCUGUCACAAUAAAGACAUUCAACACUUCCACCCUCCAUUUAACGCCUAACAGUGUUCACGUGUCUUAAGCUCCGCCCACGGACAUUUCAUUUAGACUCCACCCCUCACCUCACGUUGCUGAAAUGAAAAGCAGAUGGAAGAAGUUGACAAUUAGGAAUCAUUUUGCAUCAGUAGUGUUGCUGUGAGCUGAAUCGGCACUGCCUGUGCAACAUUUGGCAAAGUAAGUGAACGCUACGUUAUAUUCAUUAUACUGUCUUCAUUUUGAAUGAGCUAAUGGCUAACUAGCGAAUUGGCACGAGGAGCCCCCACACGUAGGCCUGCUGGCCCCCAGCAAAGGACUUGAUAUGCUGUACAACAUACAAGAUAUCAAGGUUGGCAACUGUAAUUGUUACUGUAACUUAAAAAUAAUUGUCAGGCAUGUGUUGGAAGUGAACUACACGUUUUUUUUUUAUUUUUUAGAAUGAUGCAUCUUUAUUUUUCUUCUUGAUCCACAGCAAACCUUUCCUUGAGUCUUACAUGAAUGUGAGGUGGAUGGGGAUGUCUUUGAUGAGCUUGUCAAGUCAGGUGUUUUGUCUUUCAAGGUCCUUUUAUCAGUGACAGGCCUAAAAAUGUAUUUUUGGUCACCCAGUCACUGUUGUGUCCAACACUUCUCCUGGCUCUGGAUGGUCCAAAAACCAGAGGAGAAUAUCUGUUAACUGGCACUGGCACAAUCUACAGUAAGACAUUUAACCGAUGAAUCCGUGGUCAAAGAAGGUGAGAGCAACUUUCCAGUAUCAACAGAAUAUGAUCCAAGCAGAAGAUGUAUCAUCGUCUGUCCUCAAUGUGUUCCCUCGCUUCCUUGAUGUUCCUGGAUUGAUUUACCAGGAUUUCUCAAUGAUGUUUGGUGAUGAAGUAUCUCAGAGGUUCCUGGCUAAGUGGUCAACUGUCUUCAAAGCAAAAGUCAUUGUAGACUGCAAGACUCUCCUGCAAAAGCAGAACAUUGAUGAGUUGCUGUCAGGAACUGAACCUCAACCUGAUGACAGCUGUGGCAUCCAUCCUUCUGCUCCCUCCGACUUCUAGAGGCCAGGAAAAAAACUGCAAAGAUCAGUUUGGCUCAAGUAGCCAACCAUCUUCUCCGAUAUCUUAAGAAAAGAGCCAGUGUGACCCCCUUCCAAGACUGUUGACACAAGACAACCAUUUCUCCUCUGCAUCAGUGAGCACAAGUGACAUCCAGAGGUUCUACAUUAUUGACCAAAAGCCGGUUCCAUGCAAGGCACAUACAUUUAUUGCAGCUUUUGAUGAACUGUUCAAAGCUCACUUUGUCUUCAGUCUCUCGUAUGGUUAAAAAUGGAUAAGAGCAAACAUUUGGGUCUGAAUGCUGCCCAGUCAUGGUGUCUUCUACGUAACACUCCACUUAUAUUUGAUGUUAUUGAAAGGAGAAUGAUCACUGGAACUUCCUCCUCCUUUUGAUGCAGAUUGUCAACAUAGUGUUCUCCUACACCAUAACUGAUGGAAUGAUCCUUUACUUGAAACAUCUGAUAAGUGACCACCACACUCGGUACAAAGCAUUGCUUCCUGGUAAGAAGUUGAUUCCCAAGCACCGCUUGAUGAUACUAUCCAAGAUGCAUACAAAACAUUGGCCCUCUUAUCCAUACGUGGUGCAUGUGUUGUUGAAGACAAACACCAUUUUUUCAAAAGGUGUGGUUAAAUUUUUAAAAAUCUCAGUCGUUUGCCGUGGCCUUCAUGAUGAAAAUUAUUAUUUUAGAAGAUUUGCAUUUGGCCCUACAACAUCAAAAACAAUCUGCAACUUGAAAGGUGGGGAGGAACGUGGUCAGGCAUGAUGUCUGCAAGCAUCUUCAAGUGUGUCAAGUACCAACUGGGUGAGAAGUUACGGUAUAGAGCACCAUGUUGGUGUGUUCAUAUGUACUGGAUGUAGCUUUGAUCUACCUGUGUUCAAGAAGAUCUGUGAUAUAAUAAAACACAAAGAAUGUGCUUUCAUAGUAGCCUGUAAUGUAGAAACGAUGUACUAUGAGGACCUGUUUAACGUGUACUGCAUAGAAGACCAAAUGCUUGAGUUUUCUGUCGUGUUUAAAUGAACUGACUCAUUUCAGACCAUUUGACAAGCAGUGUUCUGACAGUUGUCAAAGAGCAUACGUAGUGCCCUACUGUUAUUUAAGCUAGUGUCUGUUGUAAAUGAAAUGUUUUUGAAUAAAAUGUAUGAAGCCGUCAACUACCGUAAAGCACCGUUUAUAAACCACACUUUUUUCCCACUGGUAAGAAGCAAAAAAUUGGGGUGCGGUUUAUACACGAUGACAGGUCUGUGACCAGACGCAGAAAUUGACUACAAGUCCAUUUAUCUUAACUUAUCUGACGGCUGUCUGUAUUUUCACACAGUG